UACAGAGGUCCCAAGCGUUGUUCGGAUUCACUGGGCGUAAAGGGUGCGUAGGCGGUCGGGUAAGUCUGAUGUGAAAUCUCCGAGCCUAACUCGGAAACUGCAUUGGAUACUAUUCGGCUUGAGAGUUGGAGGGGGGACUGGAAUUCUCGGUGUAGCAGUGAAAUGCGUAGAUAUCAGUCGGAACACCGGUGGCGAAGGCGGCUUCUUGGGCCCUACCUGACGCUGAGGCGCGAAAGCCAGGGGAGCGAACGGG
rnacentral:rRNA from 1 species